AUUGAACGCUGGCGGCAUGCUUUACACAUGCAAGUCGAACGGUAACAGGUUAAGCUGACGAGUGGCGAACGGGUGAGUAAUGCAUCGGAACGUGCCCGCUCGUGGGGGAUAACGCAGCGAAAGCUGCGCUAAUACCGCAUACGAUCUGAGGAUGAAAGCGGGGGACCGUAAGGCCUCGCGCGAUCGGAGCGGCCGAGGUCAGAUUAGGUAGUUGGUGGGGUAAAGGCCCACCAAGCCGACGAUCUGUAGCGGGCCUGAGAGGACGACCGGCCACACAGGAACGGAGACACGGCCCAGACUCCUACGGGAAGCAGCAGUGAGGAAUUUUGGCCAGUGGGCGAAAGCCUGAUCCGGCAAUGCCGCGGGCAGGAAGAAGGCCUUCGGGUUGUAAACUGCUUUUGUACGGAGCGAAAAGGUCCUUUCUAAUACAAGGGGCUCAUGACGGUACCGUAAGAAUAAGCACCGGCUAACUACGUGCCAGCCGCCGCAGUAAAAC
rnacentral:rRNA from 1 species